AGCAAUUCUGAACGCGAGUGGUGGGAGGAAGAGGGGGGAUAUGGGUAGUGAGGGUGAAGGAGCUUCAUCCCUCUUUAAAACAAACCGGCAUAACUCUCCCGUGUUAUAAUGGACGCUUCCUGAGCUGCUGACUGUAUUCAUUUCUUUUUAUAAGCUCCUUUGUAAAGGGGAGAAAUGGUCGACUUCACACCGAAAAGUGUCACAUCCAUUUUAAUUGGAGAAAAAAGUUCUCGUCCGACAGAUGCUGAGUGCUGACCCAGUGCAGUGAAGGAGGAACAGGGCCGGCAGCAGACAGUAGCUGUACAGUCCCCCUGCUUGACCAGUCAGAGGAAAUUAGGUCUGAUCAGUUCCUGUCUUGAGAUAAUCAUCCGCACCAUUAAGAGUUUCAGACGUACUGCCGAGACACUACAUCUGCAGAGCUGAGAGAAAAAAGUCAGCCACCAUAAACUAAUGAAGUACAAGUCUGUUUAUCUUGGCAAGUCUGGGAGAAAUAUUUAAUUGCUUCGGAGAAAGUCUAAUGCCUGCCGAACCAUAACUUCUCAGGCUCCAACACUGUUAUUUAAAACACUAUUGGAUGAUUGUGCAAUGUGGUAACUGUGAAGCUUUGAGGGGGUUUAUGAUUACCAGGAUGUAGUCUGUUUUCCAAACACUGUUAGAUCAUCUAUUCCAUGAUGCAUUUCAUUGAGGUAUGAAAAUAGCUCCAAUGGUGCCAUGUAUUGCAUAGGAUUCUCAAAUAUGGCAUACAUGCAAUACUAUUCAAUGAGUCAUUCAAUUUUGUCAUAGUGAAUAAAC